rnacentral:rRNA from 1 species
UGGCAGUCAGAGGCGAUGAAGGGCGUGCUAAUCUGCGAUAAGCGCCGGUAAGGUGAUAUGAACCGUUAUAACCGGCGAUACCCGAAUGGGGAAACCCAGUGUGACUCGUCACACUAUCAUUAACUGAAUCCAUAGGUUAAUGAGGCGAACCGGGGGAACUGAAACAUCUAAGUACCCCGAGGAAAAGAAAUCAACCGAGAUUCCCCCAGUAGCGGCGAGCGAACGGGGAGGAGCCCAGAGCCUGAAUCAGCAUGUGUGUUAGUGGAAGCGUCUGGAAAGGCGCGCGAUACAGGGUGACAGCCCCGUACACAAAAGCGCAUGUGCUGUGAGCUCGAUGAGUAGGGCGGGACACGUGGUAUCCUGUCUGAAUAUGGGGGGACCAUCCUCCAAGGCUAAAUACUCCUGACUGACCGAUAGUGAACCAGUACCGUGAGGGAAAGGCGAAAAGAACCCCGGCGAGGGGAGUGAAAAAGAACCUGAAACCGUGUACGUACAAGCAGUGGGAGCACCCUUUGGGUGUGACUGCG